GCGGAUAUGGCGGAAUAGGCAGACGCAUCAGACUCAAAAUCUGACGCUGGUGACAGUGUGUGGGUUCGACUCCCACUAUCCGCA
rnacentral:tRNA from 3 species